rnacentral:misc_RNA from 1 species
UUUUUUUUUUUUUUUUUUUUAUGUAUGUUACAUCAGAACUUUUGACCGGGCAGACCGAUUUCGACAAAUUUUGUUUUAAUCGAAAGGUUUUGUGUGCCAAUUGGUCCCAUUUAAAUUUAUUUGAGAUCUAACAACUACUUUUCGAGUUAUAUCUAAUAAUGCGUUUUUACUUGACGCUUUUUUCGUCGACCUACGUUGUAUUAUACCACAUAACUUUCUACUGGAUGUACCGAUUUUGAUAAUUCUUUUUUUGUUGGAAAGGGGAUAUCCUUAGUUUGGUAUGAUGAUAAGAAAACCAGGAU